UACGUAGGAUGCAAGCGUUUGUCCGGAAUUAUUGGGCGUAAAGAGUUCGUAGGCGGUUGCCUAAGUCUGGUGUUAAAUACAGGAGCUCAACUCCUGCAUGGCACUGGAAACUGGGCCGGCUAGAGUAUGGUAGAGGUCACGGGAAUUCCAGGUGUAGCGGUGAAAUGCGUAGAUAUUGGGAAGAACACCGGUGGCGAAGGCGGCUCACUGGCUCGUUCUGACGCUCAGGCGCGACAGCGUGGGGAUCAAACAGG
rnacentral:rRNA from 1 species